UAGAGUUUGAUCCUGGCUCAGGACGAACGCUGGCGGCGUGCUUAACACAUGCAAGUCGAGCGGAAAGGCCCUUCGGGGUACUCGAGCGGCGAACGGGUGAGUAACACGUGAGUAACCUGCCCUUGGCUCUGGGAUAAGCCCGGGAAACUGGGUCUAAUACCGGAUAUGACUGCUGGCCGCAUGGCUGGUGGUGGAAAGUUUUUCGGCUGGGGAUGGACUCGCGGUCUAUCAGCUUGUUGGUGGGGUGAUGGCCUACCAAGGCGACGACGGAUAGCCGGCCUGAGAGGGUGACCGGCCACACUGGGACUGAGACACGGCCCAGACUCCUACGGGAGGCAGCAGUGGGGAAUAUUGCGCAAUGGGCGGAAGCCUGACGCAGCGACGCCGCGUGGGGGAUGAAGGCCUUCNGGUUGUAAACCUCUUUCACCAU
rnacentral:rRNA from 1 species